rnacentral:rRNA from 1 species
UUGGGAACUAGGUGUGGGGCUGCUAUCCUGUGGUUCUGCGCCGUAGCUAACGCAUUAAGUUCCCCGCCUGGGGAGUACGGCCGCAAGGCUAAAACUCAAAGGAAUUGACGGGGGCCCGCACAAGUGGCGGAGCAUGCGGAUUAAUUCGAUGCAACGCGAAGAACCUUACCAAGGCUUGACAUACACUGCGACAUGCCAGAGAUGGUGUGGCCUUCGGGGUGGUGUACAGGUGGUGCAUGGCUGUCGUCAG